rnacentral:rRNA from 1 species
AUUGAACGCUAGCGGGAUGCCUUACACAUGCAAGUCGAACGGAGUGGCGAACGGGUGAGUAAUGUAUCGGAACGUGCCCCGUAGCGGGGGAUAUCUACGCGAAAGCGUAGCUAAUACCGCAUACUAUUGGAGCGGCAGAUAUCGGAUUAGCUAGUUGGUGGGGUAAUGGCUCACCUAGGCGACGAUCCGUAGCUGGUUUGUGAGGACGACCAGUCACACUGGGACUGAGACACGGCCCAGAAUCCAACGGGAGGCAGCAGUGGGGAAUUAUGGACAAUGGGGAAAACCCUGAACCAGCCAUCCCGGGUGUGCGUUGAAGGCCUUCGGGUUGCAAAGCACUUUUGGGAGGAAAGCGUUACCUGCAGAAUAAGCACCGACUAACUACGGGCCAGCAGCCGCGGUAAUAC